AACGAACGCUGGCGGCAUGCCUAACGCAUGCAAGUCGAACGAGACCUUCGGGUCUAGUGGCGCACGGGUGCGUAACGCGUGGGAACCUGCCCUUAGGUUCGGAAUAACUUCCCGAAAGGGGUGCUAAUACCGGAUAAUGUCUUCGGACCAAAGAUUUAUCGCCUUUGGAUGGGCCCGCGUUGGAUUAGCUAGUUGGUAGGGUAAAAGCCUACCAAGGCGACGAUCCAUAGCUGGUCUGAGAGGAUGAUCAGCCACACUGGGACUGAGACACGGCCCAGACUCCUACGGGAGGCAGCAGUGGGGAAUAUUGGACAAUGGGCGAAAGCCUGAUCCAGCAAUGCCGCGUGAGUGAUGAAGGCCUUAGGGUUGUAAAGCUCUUUUACCCGGGAUGAUAAUGACAGUACCGGGAGAAUAAGCUCCGGCUAACUCCGUG
rnacentral:rRNA from 1 species